CCUCGCAAAGGAAUGAAGAACACUGGAAGUAGUAAUUACCCAGACCCUGACCUUCUGCCCUAAACCACCCCACCGCAGGACGUUGGUGGCUUCCUUGCCUGGUACCGUCUUUGACGAGAUGCUGCCCGUCCUCAGUGCACCUGCACCCGUGGACCUUGAAGGCCAAGCACAGAGGAGGGGAGUGGACUGUGGAGUCAGAGAGGUGUGGUUUCACCCCUGCUCCGACUCUCACUUGCUUGUGACCUUAGACUUGUUGUUUAAGUGCUGCACGGCUCGGCUCAUCCAUCUGUCGUGUGCAGACGGUAAUGUCAAUCCCCCAGGGUUCUUAAACCGAGUGACUGUGGUAAUGCAUGAGAAGGGCCUGGAGCAUGGUGGGUGUCUAAUAAUUGCUGGCUGACAUAAUUAGUGCUGGGCUGACAUAAGCCAC
rnacentral:lncRNA from 1 species